GACGAACGCUGGCGGCGUGCCUAAUACAUGCAAGUCGAGCGGACCGAUAGGAGCUUGCUCCUGUUGGUUAGCGGCGGACGGGUGAGUAACACGUGGGCAACCUGCCUGUAAGACUGGGAUAACUUCGGGAAACCGGAGCUAAUACCGGAUAAUUCAUCCCCUUGCAUGAGGGGAUGCUGAAAGUCGGUUCACGCUGACACUUACAGAUGGGCCCGCGGCGCAUUAGCUAGUUGGUGAGGUAAUGGCUCACCAAGGCGACGAUGCGUAGCCGACCUGAGAGGGUGAUCGGCCACACUGGGACUGAGACACGGCCCAGACUCCUACGGGAGGCAG
rnacentral:rRNA from 1 species